UUAGCCUCUUUUAAAAAUAUAUUAUUAAAUUCUGGAAAGAAUUUAAUAAAAUAUCCCUCUCUCAUUUUUCAGGUUCUGUGGAUCACCUCUUUUUUGCUUCCUUAGAACAAACCCGAACUUGCCAUGAAGGCAACAUCCAGCACAUUCUGGCUUAUCUUCUAUAUAUAUAUUUCUCCUGGGUGUGCCAGGGAAAAUGCGUCCCGGCAGCCCAGCUGAUUGGCUGGGUUAUGGAGGCGCCUGAUUGGCUGGCACAGCCAGGAGAAGGAGAAUUGGCCAGCUGCGAGCCAAGGCCGCUGGCGGGCCCGGCCUGGCGACGGGUGGUGGUUGCGAGCCCGGCCUGGCUGCGGCGAAGCGGUGGCGGGCCCAGCUGAGGGCCGAGGCGGUGAAGCAUUGGGCGGCCGGGCGGCCAGCCCUGAUACCAGGGCAGAAGGUGGGAGUGGAGGGAGAGGUGGCUGGCCUGCGGCCGGCCGCAAAGACUGGCAAGCGGUGGCAGCGGGCACGACAGACCCCGGAGGCAGCACUUGGCGAGGUGGGCCUGCCGGCGGGACCGGCCAUGGAGGCGGCUCUCAGCCAGGCGGCGCCGGGACCAGUUGCCGAGGCCAGGAGGAACCUGUGGGAGCCUGGGGUGGGAGGGAACUGGGCAGUGGGACUUUCCUGUUCGCCGCCCAGGAGGAGGAGUGGUGGCCCGUGCCUACGAAAAUGGACCUGGAUAUGGCUCAAAACUACAACAGAGCGUCAGUUUAUCGAGAAGGUAAGGAGAGAGGAAGAAAACAGAGAAGAGACUCUUAACCUGCUGUUGGGUCCUCUUCAGGCAAUGCAACCAAUGUGUAACAAGAACCAGGUUGAUUGUACAGCAAGCUUUUGGCAGAUCUCUUAAGAGGCUCGACUAGAGAAAGAGGAUGAGGAGGAAGAAGAAGACUCCCUCCUUCUGUGCUCAUGCUCCCCCCCUUUUGAGGAUCUCCUAUUAUUCAGGUCUGACUGAGGAAGGGGAUUUACAUCAGGUGCUACGGGGCCCACUGGAUUGCUCCCCGCUGGGAUUGGCGGUGCUGGCUGAGUCAAAUCUAUGAGGGGGUUCCCAGGCGGAUUGCCAGAUGAUUGCCAGAUGACCCAGGUCUCACCAGCUCCGAAGAUCCCAUGGGGAUGAUAUCCUCAACUGGUGUAGUAGCAGCCUGUCUUGCUGCUGCCUGCAUAAUGCGGGCGCUACCUCUGCUGCCUGAUGGCUUUUUGCUUCCUCCGUUGUUCGGGGGGGCAGCGCAGAGUGGUUGCAAGUUGCUCCAGCCCUGAUCACACUCCAGCUGCUGCAUUCCUCCCGCUGCUUGUGCUGGUGGCGGCCGCUGCAGGACUUCUAUCAGCUGGCCUAGCUAUAGCCAAUCUCAGCUGGUAGGCCCUGCUGGCUGUUCCUUGACUGUGCUUGCUCUUCCCCCUAGUGCGAAUUCAGGCUGCAAAAUGGUGGUCACCGAUAAGAGGGAGGAGGACAAGUAUGCCCUGCUGAGUCCCCUCUGGCUGUGGCCCCUGCUAGGCUCUCCCCUCCCACCUCGGGAUGAAAGUUGCUGAAGAACCCUCUCCUGGGUCAGGCUGAUCACGGGGUGUGUGUAUGUGUGGUGGCAGCAUCGACAAGGACCUGGUGGUGCUUGGCGCGCUUGAGGGCCGAUGGGGUGGUUCCUACCCUUUGGCAGUAAAACAUUCUAGAUUGGUGGUACCUGUCUCUGUAUCCUAAAGAGAAUGGAGAAGAGUCCAGGGAUAGAAGGCAGGAGUGAACAAAGAAAAAUAAAGGAUUUUUUUUUUUAAUAUAGGAGAAAUAACAAUGAGAAUUAAGGAGGUUAAGAAGGCAGUGGGGGCAAAAGAAAGAAUUAAAGACUGAGGAAGAGAGGUAAAGGCCUUCGAAAGGGUAGGAGAGAAGGCUCUCUGGAGCAGGAUGCGGGAAUAUAGAAACUGGGUUGGGGUAUCCUUCCCAGGUUCUUAAAGCUUUUCAGUUCAUUAGCAUAGUUCUGCCUCUGGAGCACAUAGGAAGGAGGUGGAGAUGUCCUCCUCCAACAGAAGAGAUGUCCUCUUCCACAGAAGAUGUCCUUCUCCAGAAGCAGAGAAAGCACAUCAUAGCAUAAAGUCAGUCCACUGAACAGUGAACAUACUAUAAGGCCAGAUUUUGUUUCAGAUGGAAGAGUUACUUGCCCAAUACAGCAAUGUUCAGUCUUGCAAAUGUUAAAAUAGUGGCUGACAUGAUGUGCAGCAUACCAUCCCAUACACUCUGUCCCAGGGCUGCUGUGGACUAGUAAGCAGUCCCAACACUGUUGCGUGAGCAGUGCUAUUGCAGCUAUUCUCAUUAUGGCAAGUGGGAAAAACUGCAGCAGCCCUGGGGAGGAGCUUUGCAUGAAGGUAUGCUAUGCAUCACGUAAGCCAGUGUCCAACAUUACUUUUUACAAGGAGCAUAUCUUCAGAAAACACUUUACAAGAAAAAGAUGUGUUUCUUUGGUGCAUCCAAUCUGUGCAAGCAUGAUGCCCAUAUUGACCUGGUGUGGAUCCCUCCACCCAUCUAUACUGCAGUUUAUGGAGGUGCAGUUUCAAUGUGAUGGCUUCCUAUGCCACAUCAGACUUUCUUUCUGGGCCUGCAACACAUUCUCAAGCUGAACACAGUGUCUUUUAAAUAAAGAUUACAUAUCUAGCAGCUUCACUGCUGAGAUGAGUAUUUUUGGAGGUAUAUAGGAGUUUGAGAGUGCAUGCUGACUGAUAUUUGCAUGGAUUUUAGGACCAAUAUCAAAGCGGUCCUUGUCAGUGCUGUAAUGGGAGAAGUUACAUGGGCUGAACUUCCCUUGCAUCAUUCAGCUAUAAACAGAAGUAUAUACCCUGUCAGGAACUGAUCUGACAUACCCUCAGUUUUGUGUUGCAUGCAGUAGUUCUCUUAACCCGUCAAGCUAAGAAAAAUCCUCAUACUUGAGGUCUCUGUAAGGGGUAGUCCCAAAUGAGUCACUUUAGUCAUUAUGAAUAAACUCACUGGCCUAUCUGAUGAGGAAAAUUACUCAAAGUAGUGGGACUACUUUGAGUAAUUUCCCUCAUCAUGUAGGCCAGUGCCACUAAAUGAGUGUUUCUUUUAGACAUAGAGCAUGCAGACAUCCUUGUAAUAGAUAUCUCCUGACUGUGGCAGUUGGAAUCUGAGCCAUUCCUGUUUUACAAGAGGGCCAAACUAAAUGUUUGGGGCAACUGCAUAUUUGUUAAACACAUGCUUGCUCUGCAUCUAUAAAGGAGGAGUGGGUGGAGUCUACUUUUUAUAACAAACGGAGUGUGCAGGGAAGAGGAGAGAAACCUGCCCCCACCUUAGCUUGCUGCUUUAAGCUGUUUUCUCCCUGACCAGCUCACUUCCAGUAUUGGAGCUGGGCUGGGGGCAGGGUGAUACUGCUUAAAAGCAAUUGAGUGUGAUGAAGUUUGGGGGUAAGUGGGUGGGUCUGAUAGGUGGGGGUGUAAAGGUAAAGUUGUGCCCUCGAGUCAGUGCCGACUCCUGGCGCCCACAGAGCCCUGUGGUUUUCUUUGGUAGAAUACAGGAGGGCUUUACCAUUGCCUCCUCCCACGCAGUAUGAGAUUAUGCCUUCCUAUAUCGCUACUGGCCAAUAUAGGGGUUAUACCAGCGGAUUCAACCCUGCAAUCUCUUGCUCGCCAGGCAAGUUAUUUUCCCACCAUGCCAUGGAGGUGUAGGCAUGUGUUAAUCUCCCCUCCCCUCAAGCUCCUUUUAGUACAAAAAGCAGACCUCCCUGGCUAAUUAAUUACUUAUUUAAAUGUAUAAAUCAUCUUUUUCCAGGGCAGCCUCAAGGCAGAGAGGCCAUUUAAUAGGUGAACAGGGCAAGCACGUGCUUAACAAGCAUGCAGUUGCCCUGGACCUCUAGUUUGGCCUUAAAAAUGUAUUCACCUGGAUUCCCCCACCACUGACAUAACCUCCAAUAGAAGAUAAUGAAGCUAUUCACACAACCGCACACAAGCGGGCUAACACAGCCCAGCCUGCUUUUGUGUGGUCGUGAGAAACACACAAUCAAAAGGAUGAGGUUAAUGGAGCGCUCGCUCCAUCAACCUUGUUUAUGGGGAGGGGUAAUUAGGCGGGUUAGCUACCAGAGAACCACUG